rnacentral:tRNA from 1 species
GGCAAGAUAAGUUAACACAAACUUUUGGGCCCAUACCCCAAAUAUGCGGGAUAAAAUCCCGCUCUUGCCA